UCUAUAUGGCCUCUGGAUUGGACUGCGGCCGAUCAGGCUGUUGGUGAGGUAAUGGCCCACCAAACCUGUAACCGGUACGGGCUCUGAGAGGAGGAGCCCGGAGAUGGGUACUGAGACAAGGGCCCAGGCCCUAUGGGGCGCAGCAGGCGCGAAACCUCUGCAAUAGGCGAAAGCCUGACAGGGUUACUCUGAGUGACUUUCGCUAAGAAANUCUUUUGGCACCUCUAAAAAGGGUGCAGAAUAAGGGGUGGGCAGGUCUGGUGUCAGCCGCCGCGGUAAUACCAGCACCCCGAGUGGUCGGGACGAUUAUUGGGCCUAAAGCAUCCGUAGCCGGUUCUGCAAGUCCCCCGUUAAAUCCANCUGCUCAACAGAUGGGCCGCGGANGAUACUACAGAGCUAGGAGGCAGGAGAGGCAAGCGGUACUCAGUGGGUAGGGGUAAAAUCCGUUGAUCCAUUGAAGACCACCAGUGGCGAAGGCGGCUUGCCAGAAUGCGCUCGACGGUGAGGGAUGAAAGCUGGGGGAGCAAACCGGAUUAGAUACCCGGGUAGUCCCAGCCGCAAACGAUGCAGACUCGGUGAUGGGUUGGCUUCGCGCUAACCCAGUGCCGCA
rnacentral:rRNA from 1 species